CAACCUAAUUAACAAACAUUCCAAAUUCCUAAUAACACAGGUGCUAUUUAAUAAAUCCAAAUAAUUACCUGCAAAAGCGAGUAUAGGUAUCAUCCAGGAUCAUAACUGUGUCCGUAAAAAUUACUUGUCUCGUCAGCAGACCAACACUCCUCCAAAUUAGGGCACUUGCCCUCUUCACAAAAUGUGUGAAGCAUCGACCUGCCCAAUUUUUUUCUACAUUUGAUUGUAAUUAUCGCCUCUGGGAAUCGAUGCCUUCAUCCAUUUGGCCUUUGCCAGAGGCUUCUUUCGAUUAUCACCUUAGCUUCAUAAAUUCAUCAAAUUUACUUUAACACAACAGUCAUCGUGCAAUUUCAUAUGUGAGUCACCGAUUUUGUCACAUCCAGAUUUACCUUUUAUUAAUCGACUUCCCCGGUAUUCUUUAACAAAAACAUGGCUAUCUUCGAAGCGUUCAAUUGGCCACUUUUAAAUCCAAUGGUUACAUUGAAUGAAGACAAAAGGCGUUGUAAGACAGGGGUGGCUUUAAGUAUAGGUGAACAAGACAGUCGUUUAAGACCUCAUAUUUUAAUAAGGUCUCAUUUUUUGAGUAUUUUUUUAAUAAUUUUUUAAUUAAUAAAAUUUUUUAAUACGUAUUUUAAGAAAUUAAGAGUUAUUUUUGAUAAAAAAAUCUAUUUUUGGAAACCUUAAUUUGAAAGAAAUAUAAUUAAUAAUAUUAAUUAACCAUUAGUUGAUUCAUUAUUAUUAUUUCCAAAAAAUUAUUUACCUUUUUAAUUAUUCAAUAUUAGAAUCUUUGAUUUUUAGUAUUUCUUUUAAUUUCUAUUAAAAACAUUAUAAUCUCAAGAAUUAAUAAAUGAAAAAAAUUUCUUGUUCUUUUCUCUACAAAGAAAAUUAUUAUAUUCAUUGGUUCAUGUAAAAUAAUUAAUUACAAAAUAAAUAAUAUUACCAUACCAUUCUCUUGCUAUUUCACGUCUACCAACCCCUAACAGAAUUGGAAUCGCGCAUCCUGAUUCGAAUGCGUAGAGAAGUUCACACAAGUCCAAACUUCCACUCUCCCACUAUUGAACCAUUUCUAUAAAACCAAAAUUUCACAAAAUAAUUUAGUGUGAAUAAAUAAAAGCUCCUCACUCAGAAGACAGAGUGAAUUCAGCUGAACACCAAGUACAUACAUUCCAAAUACCUAAAUGAAUUUCAAAUAAAAAGCUCUUCAAAGAUGAAAAAGUAUAUAACUACAUACAAAUUUCAGCAUGCUAAAAUGAUUAAAAAAUAUAUAUAUUGUUUAUGCAAUAAUCAGAAACUAUACGAUCAACACAAUGCAGUCAAGAUUAAUUUCAAUAUCCAUAGAUAACAAAGACACUUUCAUACUAAGAAUUCAUACCCAAUUAUUCAAUAAGCAUAGUCUACUUCAAUUCUUUCAACUUCAGCACCGUACAAGCAAAAUGACAACUUCAUUGAUAAGCUUAAUCAUCUCUAUCAACACUAGUAAUCACCAGCUAAUCCAAACCCCACCACGCAAUUGCCUUAGCAACAUUCGUGGGCUCCCAAAAGGUCAGGUGGUGAAAGUGCGAACGACUUCUUCACAUUGCAAAUCCUUAUAUUUCCAAUCAAUCCAACCUAAUUAACAAACAUUCCAAAUUCCUAAUAACACAGGUGCUAUUUAAUAAAUCCAAAUAAUUACCUGCAACAAUGAGUAUAGGUAUCAUCCAGGAUCAUAACAGUGUCCGUAAAAAUUGCCUGUCUCGUCGGCAGACCAACACUCCUCCAAAUUAGGGCACUUGCCCUCUUCACAAAAUGUGUGAAGCAUCGACCUGCCCAAUUUUUUUCUACAUCUGAU
rnacentral:lncRNA from 1 species